AGAAGAGAACAAAAAUUAGUACACAAAAUUACCUAAAGUGCACGAAGAGCGAUAGCAGCUGCAUGGCUGACACCAGAGGGACCUAGUUUCACGGGAGUAACAUCAAGGAUUAGAGAGAGCAAACUGAUGGAUGACCUGACAGCUAGAGUGAAGGGAAAUAUGAAAGCUUUCCAGAAAGUUUGGGAACCAUGGGAUAACAGUGCAGUGGGCUUGGGAAGCGACUGAGGGUGACCAAACAGGGACAUAAGGGACACGUCAAAGAAUGGG